AUUAUUUUAUACAAUAUUACCUUGAACUCUUAACUUCGUAAUAUUAUUUAUAGUAAACACAAGUUUUCAACACUUAAUCGUAAUAUCUGAUCAAUUUCUAGAGUAGACCUCCUAAUAGAAUUAGUAUUAAUUAUAUAUAUAGACUUAAUUUUCACGCCACAAUAAGAAAAAAUACGAAAUAAAAAGCUAAAACUGACAAAAAUAGUUUAGAUAGCAGUUAUUUGCAUCACAUUUAACAGUAUUAAUGUUAGUUGGCACUAUUGUGAUUUUCUUAUUUAACUAAACGUUGGCAUGAUAUUUCCUGACCAAAUACAUAAAAAGUUGUAUAGAAAUUACUCAAGUGUUCUCAUAACAAUAACAAAUUUGUUUAUAAAAGUUUCUUAUGAAUUCUUAUAUAUUAUUAUACCAAAGACUGUACUGUUUAUUCCUUGUGCAUUUUGUGUGUACUUUAUUUCUCUGAUUCGAUAAUAACAAAGUGUCCACAGUGCAUGGAGGAUCAAACAUGGCUACGGGCAAUACACAAGGCGAGUAUUUACAUGUCAGCCAUGACAAACAAAGGAUGUCUCCACACCAUCAAGAUUGUCCAGACUGCAGCACAGUUAUGAAUACAGGAACAGUUGAUAAAACAUGAAGACUUCCAGCAUGGCACUGAUGGAGCAGGAAUAACUCCCGCUCCAUUAGUGCCAAAAACAGAGUUUGUUGAUGUCAGUGAAGAAUCGGAAACUAAUUAAAUAAUAUGCUGUGAAGAGGCAAACGGUUUCUUGAUGCUCUAUGUGGAUCAUGAAAUAAAGAGUGAGUGGGUUAUAGGACCCACCGUUGUACAAGGAGUGAGGAGUGACCAUCUGUGGAACUACUGAACAUUCAAAACCUGAUUCUGAACGAGUUCUGUAUAAUGAAAAUGAGGAGCGUAAUGUCUCUAAAUCUGAGCAUCGGAAAAGAAAAAUAUCAUGUGAUACAGUUUAUUCAUGUGAGGUAUGCAGUGAGACAUUCGAGUCCUACAAUACACUGGAAUGCCAUAUGUCAGUUCAUACUAAACAAGAAAUAUAUUUGUCUAAUGAAAAGCCAUACACUUGUUAUGUAUGUAAUAAAUGUUUUAACAGAAAAUCAACAUUGCAACAUCAUUUGUUUAUACAUACUGAUGAGAAGCCAUAUAGUUGUGAUGUAUGUAAUAAAUGUUUUAGGCAUAAAUCAUCAUUUUGACAGCAUUUGUUGUUACAUAUUGGUGAAAAACCAUAUAGUUGUGACCUAUGUAAUAAAUCUUUUAGCCAAAAAUCAAUUUUAACACUGCAUUUGCAGAUAUAUACUGGUGAUAAGCUGUAUAGUUGUGAUGUAAGUAGUAAAUGUUUUAGUCGAAAAGCAAGUUUAACACAGCAUUUGUUGAUACAAACUAGUGAUACAUACUGGUACAUACUGGUGAUAAACCACAUAGGUGUGAUGUAUGUAGUAAAUAUUUUAACAGAAAAUGAAUAUUGCAACAGCAUAUGUUGAUACAUACUGGUGAUAAGCCAUAUAGUUGUGAUGUAUGUAAUAAAUGUUUUACGCUAAAAUCAACAUGAUAAAAGCAUAUGUUGGUACUUUAGAUUAUACAGAUAGAGCAUCGAGCCUCGAGGACUUAUUGUCAGCAAAUGUUAAAUAAAUUUGAAUUUUUUUUUUUUGUUUUUAUUAUUAUUCUAAUUAGAACUGUAAGUGUUUAUACUUAAUUGAGCAGCUAUUGCUUACUGAAGAGGAGCAAAAAUUAUAAGACCAAAAACAGAACUGAUAAAGAAAUCUCUGAUAACUAGUGAGUAUCUUCAAUUUUAAACAUAAAUGUAAUUAUUAAUAUUUUUUAUUAAUAAUAUUCGCGCCAUUUUUAAGUGUUGCAAGUAUCCGAAAAAAAAAAUAUCCCUGCAAUUGAAUAAAAAUUUCCGAAAUUAA